rnacentral:rRNA from 1 species
AUGCUCGUCCGGCAAUCGCUCAAGCUAUUGAGCCAACUUGGGCCCCCCCGGGUCAUGCUCAAGCUUGACCUCACGCCGCAUUCGACUCCAUAUCAUGGCCAUUCCUCUUUGAGGUCCUGCGCCAAUAUGGGUUCGGUCAUCGCUUCCUUGAGUGAAUUGCCAUCCUCCUGUCCUCGGCGAGCACCCGGGUCCUGUUGA